GAAGGGGUUUUAGAAUUGUAUCUUAACUAUGUCGUGUCGGUUUGUAAUUGGCUAAGAGAUUUUUUUUUUUUUUUCUCGUGUAUUUCUUUGUCUCUACUAAUGGCGAAAACUCUCCGAGGGACGAUCCGUCGAAUUGAGAGGAGAAUUGAGUUGAAAAUUCGUUUCCAAUAACAGUGAUCAUCUGCUUGUUUCCUCAUGAGAUAAGCGUGUGAGAUUGUAUGAUGUGAGCACCAAUUCGUUGCGAGACGAGUUCUUACAUGGCGGAGCAGUGCUCGAUUGUCGUUUUCAUGAUGAUUUCUCCGGCUUCAAUGUUUUUGUCGAUUAAAAAAUCAGAAGGAUUGUUUUCAAUGAAGAGAAAAGAGGACAUUUUUGGGACGCAUGACAAACCAGUGCGAUGUGUUGAGUAUUCUUAUGCUGCAGGUUGGUAGUAUUAUGAUCUUCCUGGAACCCAACAAGGAAGAUAAUUCUCCAUUGGUACCAACAACUUUUACAAAUGAUGCAUCAAACUGAAAAAUAUUAUGAUCUUCCUGGUUUUGCUGUAAGUUAAGCUUCCUGGUUGUGUUUGUUUGUUGAGAUCCUGCAAUGCUUUUCAAAACUAUUUAUGUUACUAUUUAAGCGUUGUGAUGUUGAAUGGUGAUUUUGUAGAAUAAAUAAACAGUUAUAAUUGAGGUCUCAUAGAUCGAGUCAUGCUU